rnacentral:rRNA from 1 species
CUACGGGGGGCUCCAGUGGGGAAUAUUGCACAAUGGGCGCAAGCCUGAUGCAGCCAUGCCGCGUGUAUGAAGAAGGCCUUCGGGUUGUAAAGUACUUUCAGCGGGGAGGAAGGGAGUAAAGUUAAUACCUUUGCUCAUUGACGUUACCCGCAGAAGAAGCACCGGCCAACUCGGUGCCAGCAGCCGCGGUAAUACGGAGGGUGCAAGCGUUAAUCGGAAUUACUGGGCGUAAAGCGCACGCAGGCGGUUUGUUAAGUCAGAUGUGAAAUCCCCGGGCUCAACCUGGGAACUGCAUCUGAUACUGGCAAGCUUGAGUCUCGUAGAGGGGGGUAGAAUUCCAGGUGUAGCGGUGAAAUGCGUAGAGAUCUGGAGGAAUACCGGUGGUGAAGGCGGCCCCCUGAACGAAGACUGACGCUCAGGUGCGAAAGCGUGGGGAGCAAACAGGAUUAGAUACCCGUGUAGUC